GGGGAUUUAGCUCAGUGAUAGAGCACUUGCCUAGCAAGCGCAAGGCCCUGGGUUCGGUCCCCAGCUCCA
rnacentral:tRNA from 1 species